CUUACCCGCUGGCCACGCUGAGAACAUUUCAGCUCCCGCAUGGUAACGUCAGGCAGUGGCAGCAGCCGUAGGGCUCCGCGGACAUCCCUAGAAGAAAGCGAUAAGGCAGCGUGAUCUUACUUGUUUUCUAAAUGCCAGGAGCGAGGAGGCUCAUCUCACAUCGCUAGGAAGGGAGCUCCACAGUUGAGGGGCCACCACCCAGAAGACCCUGUCUCUCAUCCCCACCAGCUGCACCUCUGAAGAAGGUGGGACGGAGAGCAGGGCCUCUUCAAAAAAUCUUAACAUCCGUCCUGGUUCACAGAGGGAGAUAGGUUCAGACAGGGUGACGAAGCUCAAGUCUGCCUGGAAACACAGCGUCUGACCUGACAGUGCUUCUGCCUUAUUCUUUGUGCCUGGGUUCCUUCUGUAGUUCAACAGUAAUAAAAGAAACGAACUCUGCACUUCCUCUGGGACCCUUCAUCCCCAGCAGUGAAAACAGAGACCAGAAAUCGGUUCUACCACAAAUUAAACCCCAGGGAAAGAUCACUCAUGCCCCCAUCCGCACCCAGUUAGAGGAACAGCCCCGACUAACCUGAGCAAACUGACUUUUAAGGAGGAGCUCAUUUUGCCCUUCCUCAAAUUCACACUGAUUCAACUUUCAGUUCUCUGAUGUUUCUAGGCAGGAAGUGGGGUAAAUAGAAAUAAACUGGGAAUCUCCCUCCUUUCCCACCUGAAAGUAAACCAAAUUAAUUAGUGAAGGGCCGGGCUGUGGCGCAGCUGGUUAGUAGCCAGCUGCAAUAAAUCACUAUGAUCAAGAGGUCAUGACUUCGAAGCCGGCCCGUGUCGGAGUGAGCACCUGACCAUUAAAAAAUAGCCCUGCGCAUUGUUGACCUAAGCAACCCGAAAGAUAGUUACAUCUAUGAAGUAGAAAAUUUAGGUACCACUUAUGCGGGGAGGCUAAUUUAACUAAUUUAUGACACCAUAAAAAUCAUCCAGCAACGUUUGGAAGGAGAAAUGAGGAAGUAUCCAUCAAGGACUCGGUGUCACAGUGGAUGAUGAAGCAGCUGUUCCCUCUUGUGGCCAGAAUAGAGCAUACCCUCAAUAAGCUGGAAGCUGGAGAAUGUUAAAUUGCCUCUGUGUCUCCGGCUCUGUCUCUGUCUCUAUGCUCAUAUGGCAUUGAAUGUUUGAUAUGUAAGUGUACAUUGUGAUCGACCCUGAGUCCCCUUCGGGGUGAGAAGAGCGGAAUAUAAAUACAGUAGAGUCUUACUUAUCCAACAUAAACGGGCCGGAAGAAUGUUGGAUAAGUGAAUAUGUUGGAUAAUAAGGAGGGAUUAAGGAAAAGCCUAUUAAACAUCAAAUUAGGUUAGGAUUUUACAAAUUAAGCACCAAAACAUCAUGUUAUACAACAAAUUUGACAGAAAAAAGUAGUUCAAUACGCAGUAAUGUUAUGUAGUAAUUACUGUAUUUACGAAUUUAGCACCAAAAUAUCACGAUGUAUUGAAAUCUUUGACUACAAAAAUGUAUUGGAUAAUCCAGAAUGUUGGAUAAGCGAGUGUUGGAUAAGUGAGACUCUACUGUACUGCAAAUAAAUAAAUAAAUAAAUAAAUUAGAAUUGUU